rnacentral:rRNA from 1 species
UACGAAGGGGCUAGCGUUGCUCGGAAUCACUGGGCGUAAAGCGCACGUAGGCGGAUCUUUAAGUCAGGGUGAAAUCCUGGAGCUCAACUCCAGAACUGCCUUUGAUACUGGGAUCUCGAGUCCGGAAGAGGUGAGUGGAACUCCGAGUGUAGAGGUCGAAUUCGUAGAUAUUCGGAAGAACACCAGUGGCGAAGGCGGCUCACUGGUCCGGUACUGACGCUGAUGUGCGAAGCGUGGAGCAACAGG